GGGUCAGCUUUGUGGGGUCUGGAAGCAGCAGACACCGUGGGCUGCCAGCUCCAGCCUUCUUCAGGUCCUCUUUGAUGACAUGGGAUGGUCACCACCUAGGCGGGGUGAGGAGAAUGUGGGCUUCCCAUCAGCCCCGUGCACUGGCCGUCCAUUCAGCCCAGAGCAGAGGGUUACUGAGAACCGUGUCCCUGGUGACAGAUGAUGCCUUCCAGGUCACAGGAAUUCGACUUGAUCCUUGAAGUGGAAACGUAAGGGUUCUUUGGAAAGUCAGUUGUGUCGGAUGAUGUUUUGCUGGGGCAAACACAUGAAGGAGUGUUUUCCUGAAGUGGACACAGGUGAAAGACUAAGGCAGACUGGUGAAGGAACGUUUUGCCGAGGCAGACACAGGUGAACUUCUGAAUCUGCCUGGCGGUGUCUGCAAGAGCUCGCUGAGGUUGUCGUGGCCGCAGGAACUGCACGUUUCCGACUGUGACCCAGGACCUGCUUCUGUUUGUCAUUUUGCCAACCACAGGAUUUCUCCACAGCAGUCAUGGAAGACAGGCUGAAGCUUGGCUGGGCUCAUUCCGGGCUGUCAAUCAGAAGAAACCUGUGUGGCUUCGGGAGACAGUGCUCCCUUCCUCUGGACCCUUUCGAAGCAUCUGUGGCCUGUGUCUCUGUUGAUCCCGAGAGGUGGCAACACUGAGGCCCAGUCAAGUGAGCUGCCCGAGGGUCCAGGGUGCACCUCUCCCAUAUCCCAGAACCCUUUGCCAAGGCCCAGCCUGAACUUCUGGAGCCGUUGAAUGCACUAAGAGCUUGUGCUGCAGGAGGGUGGGGGUGGCUAGUGACAGUGGCUUGUCAGGUGGCCUGCCGCAUCUCUUGAGCCAUCCUGUCCCUUUGUCCUCCAGCACUGAGCGCAGGCAUGUCUCCUCCACCCCAUCUCCUGCUCCAGGACCCGGACCACCCUCGCUGCUGCUCCCAGUUCUGCUGGCUAAGGUUGCUGUGAACAUUCCUUGGCUGAGUUACUUUCCCAGGAUGCCAAGCGAGUCUGCUUUCCAAGGGAGGCCAGCACAGUGCCAAGGCCUCUGGGUAAAUUGGGAUUCGGCUAAGAAGUGAGCCAAGAUCCGGAUGCUGCAUGGUACUUUUCUUCCCCCAACGUACAAGGCACACUGUGAACAUCUCUCCAAUCUGAGUGGCAUCCUUGGCCUCCUGAGGGCCUUCCGUGCCCCUCUCUCAGUGACUUGGGCUCCUUUCAUAGUGGUGCUGGGUAACUGGUGAAGUGGCUGCUGCCCUAGAGGGGCUUUGUUUUGUGUUUGAGGAAAGGCCAGCAGGGUGGACGCCCUCCCACAGGGGAUGCCAUGAGGUUGGCCUUUCCCUUCCGUGCCUGGACCCCUCUCUGGUCCUCGAUGUUCCUUGGUAAGCACCCUCUUCCCCGUGCUUCCUAAGCUCGACACCCAGCUGCAGGCCUGUGGGCAGCUGUGGUGCUCCAGCCCUAGUGAUGACUGGUCUCAGACCCGUCCCCAGAGAUGGUCUGGGUGAGGGAAACGUGGCACUGCUCUCUUGGCAGUGGGGUUCUAGGAAAGGGGGUGAAGAAAAACCAUCCUGAUGGCAGAAGAGAGUCCCUGAGCUCAGCCCACUGCCAUCCUUGCCCCCUCCUCAUGAGAGCUGCCUGUGUCUUUGAGAAUUCAUCAGGCUCUCGAACUUUAAAGUUCAGGGAGGGAAAAAAAAAGGAUUUCAAAUUAGUGGAAGCUUUUUACAGGGGACGCUUGUCAAGGAUAAUCUUUAAUUGCAAAUAAAAAGAUAUGGGAGGUGGCGCUGGGGAUAGGGACAUCUUGAAGGCCAGCCGUGUGGAGGUCAACCUGCCCGCACCUGCUUCAACAGGAGAAGGGUGGAGAUGUGGGGCAGUCCUCAGUCCCCACUCCCACACUUCCUUUCUUCUGUAUGGCUAACCCGCAGCUUCUACAGGUCCCAGCCCACCACUGCCCAGACCACUGCUCCAUCCUUAGGAACAGAGGGCUGGAGCAUGGGAGGCAAGUCUUGUAGGUAAGAGGUGAGAACUGGGGAACUCCCCAGAUUCCCCUGAGAAAGAACGGAGGGUAGGUUCCCGUCUCUGAGGAUGUUAGCUGCGGCCGGGAUGGAAGGGGGUGAGGAGGAAGGGGAAGACAAGCUGCAGCCCCCAUGAUGCAGAGGGCUCCCCUGGUCAGACACUGGUCACACUGAGCCCCCCC